rnacentral:rRNA from 1 species
AACUUUCAGCAAUGGAUCUCUCGGCUUUCGUAUCGAUGAAGAACGCAGCAAAUCGCGAUAUUUAAUGUGAUCUGCCUAUAGUGAAUCAUCAAAUCUUUGAACGCAUCUUGCACCCUAUGGUAUUCCGUAGGGUACAUCUGUUUCAGUACCAUUC